rnacentral:rRNA from 1 species
AAGCAGGGGAUCGUAAGACCUUGCGCUUAUGGAGCGGCCGAUGCCUGAUUAGCUAGUUGGUGGGGUAAUGGCUUACCAAGGCUACGAUCAGUAGUUGGUCUGAGAGGACGACCAGCCACACUGGGACUGAGACACGGCCCAGACUCCUACGGGAGGCAGCAGUGGGGAAUUUUGGACAAUGGGCGAAAGCCUGAUCCAGCAAUGCCGCGUGAGUGAAGAAGGCCUUCGGGUUGUAAAGCUCUUUCAGUCGAGAAGAAAAGGUUGUGACUAAUAAUCACAAUUUAUGACGGUAUCGACAGAAGAAGCACCGGCUAACUACGUGCCAGCAGCCGCGGUAAUACGUAGGGUGCAAGCGUUAAUCGGAAUUACUGGGCGUAAAGGGUGCGCAGGCGGCUUUGUAAGUCAGAUGUGAAAUCCCCGGGCUUAACCUGGGAAUUGCGUUUGAAACUACAAGGCUUAGAGU